rnacentral:tRNA from 1 species
GCCUUCGUGGUGUAGUGGUCAGCACGCUCGACGCGUAACCGAGAGGUCCGGGGUUCGAUUCCCGGCGAAGACG